rnacentral:rRNA from 1 species
UAGCAUAGUAAUUAGUCUUUUAAUUGUAGGCUGGAAUGAAUGGUUGGACAAGAAGUAGACUGUCUUUUUUAUAAGUUUUGAAUUUUACUUUUAAGUGAAAAGGCUUAAAUGUGUUUAAGGGACGAUAAGACCCUAUGAAACUUUACAGUUAAGGAGUGUUCAAUAAUUGAUUUGAAGCUUGUUUAUUUUGUAGCUGUUUUGUUGGGGAGACAAUAACAAAAGACAUAAAUAUCUGUUUGGUAAAUGAAAAUAAAAUUAUUUAGUUAAGUUGAUCCCUUAUUAAGGAUUAAAAGAGUAAGUUACUUUAGGGAUAACAGCGUGAUUUUUUCUGAGAGUCCUUAUCGAUGAAAGUAGUUU